UACAGAGGUCUCGAGCGUUGUUCGGAUUCAUUGGGCGUAAAGGGUGCGUAGGUGGCGUGGUAAGUCGGGUGUGAAAUUUCGGAGCUUAACUCCGAAACUGCAUUCGAUACUGCUGUGCUUGAGGACUGGAGAGGAGACUGGAAUUUACGGUGUAGCAGUGAAAUGCGUAGAGAUCGUAAGGAAGACCAGUGGCGAAGGCGGGUCUCGUGGACAGUUCCUGACACUGAGGCACGAAGGCCAGGGGAGCAAACGGG
rnacentral:rRNA from 1 species